GCGGGAAUAGCUCAGCUGGUAGAGCACAAGCUUCCCAAGCUUGGGGUCGAGGGUUCGAAUCCCUUUUCCCGCU
rnacentral:tRNA from 1 species